UCCCGGACAUAUCCGAGAAAGUUGUGGUGGAGGAGCCCCCACCCCCGGGAAAGUACACAGUGCGAGAGCCGAGAGAUCUGCGUAGCAAGUUCAUUCUGAUGAUGGAACAGAGAGUCAAGGAUAAAGAGGAGGAGGAGCGACUACAGUGGGAGGAGGAGGAGAGGAAGAGGAUUGAGGAACUUGAGAAACCACCACAUGAUCCCCUGUACUGGUGGGGUAUUCACAG